rnacentral:rRNA from 1 species
AUUGAACGCUGGCGGCAGGCCUAACACAUGCAAGUCGAGCGGAUGAAGGGAGCUUGCUCCUGGAUUCAGCGGCGGACGGGUGAGUAAUGCCUAGGAAUCUGCCUGGUAGUGGGGGAUAACGUCCGGAAACGGGCGCUAAUACCGCAUACGUCCUGAGGGAGAAAGUGGGGGAUCUUCGGACCUCACGCUAUCUGAUGAGCCUAGGUCGGAUUAGCUAGUUGGUGGGGUAAAGGCCUACCAAGGCGACGAUCCGUAACUGGUCUGAGAGGAUGAUCAGUCACACUGGAACUGAGACACGGUCCAGACUCCUACGGGGGGCAGCAGUGGGGAAUAUUGGACAAUGGGCGAAAGCCUGAUCCAGCCAUGCCGCGUGUGUGAAGAAGGUCUUCGGAUUGUAAAGCACUUUAAGUUGGGAGGAAGGGCAGUAAGUUAAUACCUUGCUGUUUUGACGUUACCAACAGAAUAAGCACCGGCUAACUUCGUG